GACGAACGCUGGCGGCGCGCUUAACACAUGCAAGUCGAACGGAAAGGCCUGCUUUCCCUUGUGGAUUGCGGGUACUCGAGUGGCGAACGGGUGAGUAACACGUGAGUGAUCUGCCCCCAACUUGGGUAUAAGCCUGGGAAACUGGGUCUAAUUCCCGAUAGGACUGCAGGGUGGUGCCUGUGGUGGAAAACGAUUUUCUAGUGGUUGGGGAUGAGCUCGCGGCCUAUCAGCUUGUUGGUGGGGUAAUGGCCUACCAAGGCGGCGACGGGUAGCCGGCCUGAGAGGGUGGACGGCCACAUUGGGACUGCGAUACGGCCCAGACUCCUACGGGAGGCAGCAGUGGGGAAUAUUGCACAAUGGGCGGAAGCCUGAUGCAGCGACGCCGCGUGGGGGAUGACGGCCUUCGGGUUGUAAACUCCUUUCGACCGCGAGGAAGCCACCUGGUUGGAAGGGUGGUGACGGUAGUGGUAGAAGAAGCACCGGCUAACUACGUG
rnacentral:rRNA from 1 species